UCUGGCUUAUCACCAGCAGUUUCCUUAUAGUUCCCGACAUAACUCGCUGGCAAAUAAGGAUGAGGGUUGCGCUCGUUGCGGGACUUAACCCAACAUCUCACGACACGAGCUGACGACAGCCAUGCAACACCUGUGUGUGGUCCGGCCGAACCGAAGGGAUGCAUCUCUGCUUCCCGCGACCACCAUGUCAAGGGUUGGUAAGGUUUUCGCGUAACAUCGAAUUAAACCGCAUGCUCCACCGCUUGUGCGAGCCCCCGUCAAUUCCUUUGAGUUUUAAUCUUGCGAUCGUACUCCCCAGGCGGAGCGCUUAACGCGUUAGCUACGAAACCGAAAGAAAUUCUCCCGAUAUCUAGCGCUCAUCGUUUACAGCGUGGACUAC
rnacentral:misc_RNA from 1 species